rnacentral:rRNA from 1 species
CCUACGGGCGGCAGCAGUGAGGAAUAUUGGUCAAUGGCCGGGAGGCUGAACCAGCCAAGUCGCGUGAGGGAAGACGGCCCUACGGGUUGUAAACUUCUUUUGUCAGGGAGCAAGGUGCAGGUCGGGACCUGCUGUGUGCGUACCUGAAGAAAAAGCAUCGGCUAACUCCGUGCCAGCAGCCGCGGUAAUACGGAGGAUCCGAGCGUUAUCCGGAUUUAUUGGGUUUAAAGGGUGGGCAGGCGGAGGCCCAAGUCGGCGGUAAAAUCGUGGGGCUCAACCCCGCAGCGCCGUUGAAACUGGGUCCCUUGAGUGCGCGAAGGGUAGGCGGAAGGCGUGGUGUAGCGGUGAAAUGCAUAGAUAUCAUGCGGAACUCCGAUCGCGAAGGCAGCCUACCGGCGCGUAACUGACGCUCAUGCACGAAAGCGUGGGUAUCGAACAGGAUUAGAUACCCUGGUAGUC